GGAGAGAUGGCUGAGUGGUUGAAAGCGGCGCUCUCGAAAAGCGUUGUUCACGUAAGUGAACCGGGGGUUCGAAUCCUCCUCUCUCCG
rnacentral:tRNA from 1 species